rnacentral:rRNA from 1 species
GCAGCAGCCGCGGUAAUACGAAGGGGGCUAGCGUUGUUCGGAUUUACUGGGCGUAAAGCGCACGUAGGCGGACUUUUAAGUCAGGGGUGAAAUCCCGGGGCUCAACCCCGGAACUGCCUUUGAUACUGGGAGUCUUGAGUUCGAGAGAGGUGAGUGGAAUUGCGAGUGUAGAGGUGAAAUUCGUAGAUAUUCGCAGGAACACCAGUGGCGAAGGCGGCCCACUGGCUCGAUACUGACGCUGAGGUGCGAAAGCGUGGGGAGCAAACAGGAUUAGAUACCCGCGUAGUCCCUGUCUCUUAUAC